rnacentral:rRNA from 1 species
UACGUAGGGGGCAAGCGUUGUCCGGAUUUAUUGGGCGUAAAGAGCGUGUAGGCGGCCAGGUAGGUCCGUUGUGAAAACUCGAGGCUCAACCUCGGGACGUCGAUGGAAACCAUCUGGCUAGAGUCCGGAAGAGGAGAGUGGAAUUCCUGGUGUAGCGGUGAAAUGCGCAGAUAUCAGGAAGAACACCUAUGGCGAAGGCAGCUCUCUGGGACGGUACUGACGCUGAGACGCGAAAGCGUGGGGAGCGAACAGG